rnacentral:lncRNA from 1 species
UAUCAUAGAAAUAAAAACUAUUGGGGUGAUUUUAGGAUUUACAAUCGUUGGGCAUUCACAGAGAUGUUGGGCUAAUUAGUAAUUAUUAAAGUGGAAAUUACAUAAUACCAGGAGUUUAAAGACUACAAUUCAAAAAUCAGGGCUGAAGAUUCAUCAUUCAAAAAUCAGGUAUCAAUAUAAUAAAUCUCCAAUUGACUAAAUUAGGGCUAAGGUUUCUCUCUCUACAAUCUACCUUUUCUCUCUCGUCUCACUCUAUCUAUUCUCCCUCUGUCCCUUAUCUAACCAUCCCACGGGGAGAUGACUCAAACGAGGCGUCGCCACCAGAAGAAGUAACACAAUGUUGCCAUCUAUCGUUGCCCGACAUUGCACCUGUCGCCAUGGAGAAAAAAUUGGGGACUGGUUAGGGGUUUUUUGGUCGCCGGUAGAAGAGAAAAUUUGGGGAGGGAGUUCGGUUUUUUUGGGUGAUUUCAUUCUCCUCAAUUUGAUCUACGUAUCCGGAGCCGCUGUGUAGAGCUGUAUUAUCCUCUGUAGUGGGAAAAUAUGGUAGGGGGUUUUGGUGCAGUGGAGAGGUGGAGGUGGAGGUGGAUGCGUACGACCAAUUUAAUUGUGUGCGGUGGAUGGGUGGGUAGUGGAGACACUGGUCGGGGCUGUGCUGUGCGACGACGCUGGUCGACGAUAAGUGUAANNN